rnacentral:pre_miRNA from 1 species
UAGCUACAAAAUAACUUAUUCUAUAGCCACUUUGAGUUAUGAUAAUUACUACAUUAGUUUACGAGAUUAUAGUAACUCUAUACUAAGUGGUUGACUAUAAUAUUAUGGUAAAUAUCUCUGUUUAACCCAACUGUCUUAAAUAUAUAUAGAUAUUAUCGUAAAUUAGUAUAUAAAAUUAUUGUAAAUGGACAUGACUAUAGAAUAACUUAUUCUGUAGCUG